CAAGAGCUCAAAUUUGAAAUCUGGCCUCCUUGCGGGGUCCGAGUUGUAAUUUGCAGAAGAUGCUUCGGGCGUGGCGCCGGUCCAAGUUCCUUGGAACAGGGCGUCGGAGAGGGUGAGAAUCCCGUACGUGGCUGCGCGCCUACGCCCGUGUGAAGCUCUUUCGACGAGUCGAGUUGUUUGGGAAUGCAGCUCUAAACGGGUGGUAAAUUUCAUCUAAAGCUAAAUACCGGCCAGAGACCGAUAGCGCACAAGUAGAGUGAUCGAAAGAUGAAAAGCACUUUGGAAAGAGAGUUAAACAGUACGUGAAAUUGUUGAAAGGGAAGCGCUUGCCACCAGACUCGCGCGCGCUCGAUCAUCCGGGGUUCGCCCCGGUGCACGCGGUCGCGCGCGGGCCAGCAUCGGUUUCGGCGGUCGGAUAAUGGCCCCGGGAAUGUGGCUCCCCUCGGGGAGUGUUAUAGCCCGGGGCGCCAUGCGACCCGCCGGGAUCGAGGAACGCGCUCCGGCUCGGAUGCUGGCGUAAUGGUUGCAAGCGACCCGUCUUGAAACACGGACCAAGGAGUCUAAUAUUUAUGCGAGUAUUUGGGCGUCAAACCCACAUGCGCAAUGAAAGUGAACGGAGGUGAGAACCCGCCAGGGCGCAUCAUCGACCGAUCCUGAUGUCUUCGGAUGGAUUUGAGUAAGAGCAUAACUAUUGGGACCCGAAAGAGAGUGAACUUUACGUGGAUAGGGUGAAGUCAGAGGAAACUCUGAUGGAGGCUCGCAGCGGUUCUGACGUGCAAAUCGAUCGUCAAAUCUGCGU
rnacentral:rRNA from 1 species